ensembl:lncRNA
UGGCCCUGCACGGGGCAAGGGGUAGAGGGCACCAUAGAGGCUGCCCAGCUCCCCAGCCCCGACUCUGCCGGCAUCCCCAGUCUGAGCCGUCUCCUUCUCACCUCCCUACCCGCCCUCCUUGCUACUCCUCACUCGCUCACACCGGCUCCAGGGCCUUCUAAGGCAAGAUUAGCUUCUCAGACAACUUCUAAGGCUUGAUGACAGCACCCUGCUCUUUGCCCGACGCUAUCCCCUCUCAGCCCCCAAGAAUGGUGUCCUUCACCAGGAAUCAAGACCCAACUCUCCACCCUAAAACCCAGGACAGCCAGGAUCCAGCUCCCUUUCACAGGGAAAGGAGCCUGUGAUCUUCGUCGAGACAAAUUACAGGGUGUCAAAAAGCCUCCUCGACUCUGGUCCACGUAGCACCAUGGACCACGUGGCACAGUACGGACACGCAGCACAGGUGAGUCCC